UGUGCUUCUCGGCCUUUUGGCUAAGAUCAAGUGUACUAUCUCUUCUUAUCAGUUUAAUAUCUGAUAUGUUCUCUACUUGAGGACUAUAUAUUAAAUGGAUGUUUGGAAUUGGGAGUUGGAAUAGGGGCUUGCUCCAUAAAUAUUAUGUAAACCGCCCAGACAGCCUUGGCUAUGGGGCGGUAUACGAAUGUA